UCCAAGUUCCUCAAUACCCCUGCUAUCAAUGAGUUACAGUAGACAAUCAUUGUUGAAUGUGGAAGUUGAUUGAGAAUACACUGUGAAAUUUUUAGCAUUAUAUUGGAAAAGGGUACACAUCUAAAUGGAAGACUACAUCCCUGCUAACAUAAUAUAGACCUUUGCUCAAUGUUGUAUAAUUUGUAGCCCUUCUAUGUACGAG
rnacentral:lncRNA from 1 species